UCUUGAAAAAUUUAAACUGAAUGGUAGAAGCAAAAUUUUGAGGAUAAAUUUAACCAUUUCUGUUCGCAUGAAAUCCCAGAGGCAACUUCUAAAAUAAUACCUCUUAGAUCAUGUCUCUCCAGUAUUUGCCAACCACCUCAUUUAAAUACUACUACAAUUUCGGGAGUAAAAUGCCAACUAGCUGGUCAAGAUAAACUGAUCAAGUUAAAUCACGUAUUCCUAGCAUGAGUAGCAUCAGCUUUGAUGGCAGAUCUUCAGUUUUGCUUGCCACACCAAAACUGAGACAAGUAUGAACAAUUUUGUCGACUAAGUAAGCAUAUUCCCGAAGUCUCUAAAAUGCCGUAGACUUUAAGACUGUCAACGUUCCAGCGUUAAUUCAUAAUUUGCUCAGCUUUCAUUACCUACCUUGU
rnacentral:lncRNA from 1 species